GAGAAUGGAAAGACACAACAGACGGCUUCUAACCGUCUCGACAGCGGUUCAAUUCCGUUGCAAUCUCA
rnacentral:tRNA from 1 species